CCUACGGGGAGCUGCAGUGGGGAAUAUUGGACAAUGGGCGAAAGCCUGAUCCAGCCAUGCUGCGUGUGUGAAGAAGGCCUUCGGGUUGUAAAGCACUUUCAGUGGGGAAGAAAGCCUUGGGGCUAAUACCCUCGAGGAAGGACAUCACCCACAGAAGAAGCACCGGCUAACUCCGUGCCAGCAGCCGCGGUAAUACGGAGGGUGCGAGCGUUAAUCGGAAUUACUGGGCGUAAAGCGCGCGUAGGCGGUCUGAUAAGCCGGUUGUGAAAGCCCCGGGCUCAACCUGGGAACGGCAUCCGGAACUGUCAGGCUAGAGUGCAGGAGAGGAAGGUAGAAUUCCCGGUGUAGCAGUGAAAUGCGUAGAGAUCGGGAGGAAUACCAGUGGCGAAGGCGGCCUUCUGGACUGACACUGACGCUGAGGUGCGAAAGCGUGGGUAGCAAACAGGAUUAGAUACCCGUGUAGUC
rnacentral:rRNA from 1 species